AUAUAAGUUGUGAACACUUUGAAAACGGUUUCAUUACAGAAAUUUCAGUAGGGAAGAUAAACAGUUUAUCUUAUUUAUGCCUCUCUUUUAAAGUAACACAGAAACAAGGCAGAAAAGGCAGAGGAUGAUUUCUGUUAUUCCUCUCGGCUUGCAGGUGCCCUCACAUCCAGUGGCAUCCAUCCAGACACCAACACUGACACUGGCCAUGCUCAGAACUACCUCAGCCCUGAAGACACAAGUGACAAAUAGAAGGGGGCCGCGCCCUGUUACAGCAGGUGCUCUCACUUUGUGGGUCCUUAUGUAACUGCCCGGUGUUAAUCAGGAUCGCCCGUUCUACAUUGUGUGGCGCUGCUGCGGUGUCUCCUAGUUAUUUGUUUCUGAGAAUUACGGCCUGCUGCUAGAGUGUUUGAUCAGGAUAAAUGAUUUGUUUCUAUAAGAUGCCACGUACAGUCACAAGCUCAGUGAGAAAUGGGCUGUCACCUCUUCAUCUGCAACUCAGUGCUCGACAGGACAUCGGGGCAAAGCCAGUCCGUAAUUUGUUUGUGAUGCAACUGUCCACGUGGGUCAAAUCAUGGUGCCCCUCUUAAACCUCCAAAAAAAACCAAAGUUGAUUUUCUAUUUUGCAACUUGCCAUCUCAACAUAAGUGCAGAAGAGUUAACAUCGUGAAAGAUCAGAGCCCGGAGAAUAGGCUCUCCUGGAUAUUUCAGGCUAAAGGCAACUUUCUUUUACAAAAGGAUCUGAGGAGCAGGAGCAAGGAACGCAGGGAGAGAUUCAGGAAGACAUCUGACUGUGUUAAGAGACGACAGUCACAGCCACACGGGGAGCGAGGACACUUGCAGCAAAGUAAAACGACUUCACAACUAUUGCAUCAGAGCUGCCGGUGUGAGAGAGCCUAAGCCUGUCUCAGAGUGCAGGGGACAAGUGGAAAGGAAUGUGUAAGAAUGCUGGUGACUGAGUUAGAAGCAUGCUUCGAAGCUGUCCAUGUCCUUGCCAUUCAGAAGCGGAGCCUGGGAGCUACCGAAUUUCUCCAGAAUGCGGUUUACAUUCAUCUUCGACAGCAUUCCUAGGAGAGAAUUCAGCAGUGCAGCAUCCUCUCCGAGCUCUAUGAGUUGAUCGGCUUCCACCGCAAGUCCGCCUUCUUCAAGCGGGUGGCCCCCGUGCAGCGCGCGGCC